GAAAAUCAAGACUUGCAUAAACAAUAUCCCAAUAUUAGAGGCAGUGGCGUCAUUUUUCCUCAGAGCUUUCAGCUCUUUGAUCUUUAUCAAAAUCAGGGUCAAGGUUCAACUCCUUCCAAAAAUUUCCACAUAAUGUGUUGUUGUGAAGAACACUCACCCAAGAUAUUAAUCAACUUGAUUAAUUGUAAUGCUUAGUACCCC
rnacentral:lncRNA from 1 species